rnacentral:rRNA from 1 species
ACGGUCCUAAGGUAGCGAAAUUCCUUGUCAGGUAAGUUCUGACCCGCACGAAAGGCGUAACGAUUUGGGCGCUGUCUCAGCUGUAGACUCGGUGAAGUCUUAGUACCUGUGAAGAUGCAGGUUACCCGCGACUAGACGGAAAGACCCCAUGGAGCUUCACUGCAGGUUGAUAUUGGGAUUUGAUGCAGCAUGUACAGGAUAGGUAGGAGGCAAAGAGAUGGAUACGCCAGUAUUCAAGGAGCCGCUGUUGGGAUACUACCCCUGUUGUAUUGGAUUUCUAACCGGACGACGUAGAGCCGUUGACGGGACAGUGUCAGUCGGGCAGUUUGACUGGGGCGGUCGCCUCCCAAAGAGUAACGGAGGCGCCCAAAGAUACCCUCAGCUUGGAUGGAAACCAAGCGCAGAGUGCAAAGGCAAAAGGGUGUUUGACUGCGAGACCCACAAGUCGAGCAGGGACGAAAGUCGGGCUUAGUGAUCCGGCGGUGCUGAAUGGAAAGGCCGUCGCUCAACGGAUAAAAGCUACCCUGGGGAUAACAGGCUGAUCUCCCCCAAGAGUCCACAUCGACGGGGAGGUUUGGCACCUCGAUGUCGGCUCAUCGCAUCCUGGGGCUGUAUUCGGUCCCAAGGGUUUGGCUGUUCGCCAAUUAAAGCGGUACGCGAGCUGGGUUCAGAACGUCGUGAGACAGUUCGGUCCCUAUCUGUCGUGGGCGCAGGAAAUUUGAGAAGAGCUGUCCUCAGUACGAGAGGACCGGGAUGGACGCAUCAAUGGUGGACCAGUUGUCACGCCAGUGGCAUAGCUGGGUAGCUAAAUGCGGAAGGGAUAAACGCUGAAGGCAUCUAAGUGUGAAACCCACUUCAAGAUGAGAUUUCCCAUUGCGCAAGCAAGUAAGACCCCUUAAAGACGAUAAGGUAGAUAGGUCAGGAGUGUAAGCAUGGUGACAUGUUAAGCGGACUGAUACUAAUAGGUCGAGGGCUUGACCGA